rnacentral:lncRNA from 1 species
GGAAGGAAACAAAGCUUAAGGCAGUGAUUGAUAGGUUAUUUCUUGGACACAGCUGAACGUAUACUGUGCGCCUGCAACUUUCCGGUGGUUUCGGACCGGACUUCAGUGAAGCCAGUGAAGUCGGUCGACUUGCAGAACUUCCUUUCAGAGGGGCGUACACAGCACCGCGGCCGUGUGCCUGUGAUCUCCUUCUGAGUUUGAAAAAGAAGAUCCUAGACACCGAGCCAAAUAUGUUUGCAUAAACCGGGAGACUUGUGGCUCUAUUUUGUAACAGCUUGGCGCAGGGCAGCUGGUUUGGAGAUGUCUCUGUUCUUCCCUUGGUGGGGGUGCCGGAAAAAAUGUGCUGCCUGGGCGAUCGAGGUUGGGGCAAAAGCGUUGCAAAGGAAAAGGUGGGAGGACUCUACUUUCACAUUUCCCAAAAGAGUUUUACCAUAAGACUAUUUCUGGAUUGUUCUAACGUGAGGAUAUUGGGAGCAUUUUGAAAAUACUGGAGGAAAAGCUGUCACUGGGCGAUUUAAAUCCGGUUCCCCUUGUCGGCAAAGCCAGGCGCUGAUAGCGUUAUGGCUGCCAUGAGAGUCAGCAGUAUCCCAGCUUCCAAGGAUGGGUGUAAGGUGGGGGUGAGGAAGAAAAGGAACUUGAAGCUGCCUCCUGUCCCAGAAUCACAAGACAUCUGUUAAGCCCUUACUACCUCAUUCACUCCACUCACAUUAGGUUGACCCACUUGGGCAGCAAGACAAGCAGGCCUGCAAACUUCCUUUUCUUCAUCAGCCACAGAGACAUCCUCAGCUAUUAUUCUGGAUUAAGGCAGAGAUCUCCAAACAGCAGACUAAGAUCAGCCUCUAGAUCUCAAAGCCUUACUGUUAUCUCUCCAAGUCAGUGGCUGAUCUCAGAGAAGCUUCUGAAUAGUGACUAGCAAAGAGUCACUCAGGCUACUUACAAAUCCAGGACAGCAGCGUUUUUUUUUUUUUCUUUUUUAGAGACAGAUUCACUCUGUCAUCCAAGCUGGAGUUGCAGUGAGCCGAGAUCACGCUAGUGCACUCUAGCCUGGGUGACAGAGCGAAACUCUGUCUAAAAAAAAGAAGUUAUUUUUUAUCAAUAUAUAUUAACAUGCAAUGGAUUUAUUAUUAUUAUUAUUUUAUUUAUUUAUUUUUUACUUGAGACAGAGUCUUGCUCUGCCACCCAGGCACUCCCGGAUGUCAUGCAUCAGCCCUAUGAGAGUCUUGCCUCUUCUUCAACACACCUGUGUUUCACCGCUGUCCUUUGAUCAGGAGUCCUGUCUGGCAAAGGUGCAAAGCCCCCUACAUCUCUUCCUCUCAAAACCUGCUGCCCAACUUUCCCUCUCUUUCCAGAAAUAAUAAUUCCCUCCCUGUCCUCCCACAACUCUACUUAGCACUGGCUUGAAUGGUGACAAGUAGUGUAUGUGUUUCCCUGACUACACUGUGACUGCUUCUAUGAUCACACUGAAUUCCUCUUUGUAUCAUCAGCAUCCCCCACCAAGUCUGACUCAAAUAGGCCCUUCAUAGGGCUACGUUGAGCAAGCUGCAUUCAUUAGGCCAUUAAGAACAUUAAAGCACAAAAGACGUUCUAAUGGGUGACAGAUGAAUGCUCAUCCUGGUAAUUUUUUUUUUUUUUCCUGUAAACAUCUGUCCAGGGCCUGAGCUCAGAAGGCAGAAUCCGUCGUGGAGCGUGUCCAACUCCUACCCCAAGAGCAGCCUCCAUGUUUACCCACGGACUGGGCUCACACACAGGCAGGCAGCUCCGAGCUCUGAGCACCUCAGCAUCCUUGGACUCUGAGCUAGCGUGGUCACAUGUCGGGGGGACAGAGUUCCCCAGCCCUUACCCUGCAGUCUUGCUUCUGAUAGGGAAACCUUGAGCUCGUAGUGACUGUGGGGCUGGCUCUCCAGGACAAGCCCCUCCAGUGGAGCCAGGAACCAGGAUGGAAGGUUGGGUUUGGGGGUGGACUGAUGGCCUGGAGUUCACUGCCACCUAUUUUCUUUUCCUCUUUUUCCAUCUCACCCAGAGCUGUGGGAAGAGGCCUUGACAACAGGUGAGAUUUGGGGCACCUGACUGUGACUUCAACCCAGCAGGUGGGGUUGGCCCAAAGCAGUUCCCCAGCUUGUCCUCUCAGGUCCUCUGGACACCCUUCCCCACCACACAUAACCCUGGACCUUCACAGCUCCCACACCACCAUCCACACCUAGGAAAGGACAUCGGACUGGAGGUCAGGGGCCUAGGAUUCAAGUCCCAGCUCUGCCGACAGCUACCAGUGUAUUCUUGGGCAAGUCACUGAACCUCUGUGGGUCCUGAUUCCCUUACCUGUAAGAGAGUGAUAAUCAUAAGGCCCUCUGCAUUGCUCUAAGGAUCAAGAUAAUGCUUGUGAAAGUCUUCACUGUACUCUAAAGUGUGAUUAAUAUAUAUUCUUUAUCCUGGAAUCUCCUAUCUCCUUUGAGUCCUGUUAAAUAAACCAUGAUGUGAAUGGUUAGUAAUGAAGUGUUUGCCCCCUUUCUAGACAGUUAUUUGUACUUGUAACCAUAACUUUCAAUGCCUUUAUUCAGCGAUAAGAGUACGGAAUUAAUUCCAAGUUCAGACCGGGUGUAGCAGCUCACAUCUGUAAUCCCAGCACUUUGUGAGGUCAAGAUGGGAAGAUCGCUCAAGUUUAGGAGUUUGAGACCAGCCUGAGCAACAUAGGAAGACACUGUCUCUACAAGCAAACAAACAAACAGACAAAAAAACAAUAAAUUACCUGGGCAUGGUGGCACAUGCCUGUAGUCCCAGUUGCUCAGGAGGCUGAGGCAUAAGGAUCACUUGAGCCCAGAAGGUUGAGGCUGCAGUGAGCUGUGAUCACACCAUUACACUCCGACCUGGGUGACAGAGCGAGCCCCUGUCUCAAAAAGAAAAAAGAAAAAGCAAAAAAGAAAAAAUUUCAAGUUUACAGGCAGGCUGGGGAGGAGGAGCAACUUCCUAUUCAGUGGUGCUGCUUCCUUCGCUGGGCAAUUUGCUGGCAUUGCCCUCUGUCAUCCUAAGGCGAUGGACCUUGUUGCUAUGUAAGGGAAGUCCUUACCCAGAAGGCUGAGAGGAACAGAAUUUCCAAGGACAAAACACUUGCCAAGAAGCCCAGCUUCACAAAUUUCCUCUAUUUGUCAACCCCUUGGUACAUAGUUGC